rnacentral:rRNA from 1 species
CUGCCCUGCACUCUGGGACAAGCCCUGGAAACGGGGUCUAAUACCGGAUACGACCACUGAGGGCAUCCUCGGUGGUGGAAAGCUCCGGCGGUGCAGGAUGAGCCCGCGGCCUAUCAGCUUGUUGGUGGGGUGAUGGCCUACCAAGGCGACGACGGGUAGCCGGCCUGAGAGGGCGACCGGCCACACUGGGACUGAGACACGGCCCAGACUCCUACGGGAGGCAGCAGUGGGGAAUAUUGCACAAUGGGCGAAAGCCUGAUGCAGCGACGCCGCGUGAGGGAUGACGGCCUUCGGGUUGUAAACCUCUUUCAGCAGGGAAGAAGCGAAAGUGACGGUACCUGCAGAAGAAGCGCCGGCUAACUACGUGCCAGCAGCCGCGGUAAUACGUAGGGCGCGAGCGUUGUCCGGAAUUAUUGGGCGUAAAGAGCUCGUAGGCGGCUUGUCACGUCGGUUGUGAAAGCCCGGGGCUUAACCCCGGGUCUGCAGUCGAUACGGGCAGGCUAGAGUUCGGUAGGGGAGAUCGGAAUUCCUGGU